CCCAUGGUGCCGGGUGAGCGAGGCAUAGAAGAGCCCUGUCGUCAAGGUGCCGUGGUUAGUAAAAGGACAGAUGCCGUGUGGCAGACAGUCUACAACCUCUCUUCAAGCUCUGAUGAAACAGGCAAGGCAAGUAUUAUGCCCCUUUGACAGAUGAGGAAACUGAUCAGGGAAACCAGGUGACUUGCUCAGUGGCAAAACAAGUUAAUAGCGCUGCACGGGCUUACCAGCUGGUCCCCAGCUCUGGCCACUGGCAGUGGGUGAGCAUCCUGACCCUGAGGCCAGACCCACCUCGCCUCAGCCUGACGAGCACUCCCUGCUGAAGGCCUGUCUUGCCAUGUCUCCCCCAGGACCAGGCAGCCAAGGACAAGGCCCUGCAGAGCAUGGCUGCCAUGUCGUCCGCACAGAUCAUCUCCGCCACAGCCUUCCAUGGUAGCAUGGCCCUCGCCCAGGGCCCAGGCUGCCCAGCAGUCUCAGGGUUUUGGCAAGGAGCUUUGCCGGGCCAAGCCGGAAUGUCCCAUGACGUGAAACCUUUCUCUCAACAAACCUAUGCUGUCCAGCCUCCGCUGCCUCUGCCAGGUGGGUCAGCAGUGCAUGUGCCUUGCAUGUUGCAGCCCUGUGGCUCCUGUCCCAGGCACCCGAUAGCUGGAUGCCUACAUGCCCCUCUUAGGUGCUUCCCUGUUGUGUCCCGAGACCAUACAGCCGCUCUCCUGGCUACUGCCCAUUCUUUGCCCCCAGCAUGCACACCUCUGCCAUU